rnacentral:rRNA from 1 species
CCUGGCGGCAGGCCUACACAUGCAAGUCGAGCGGAAACGAUCCUAGCUUGCUAGGAGGCGUCGAGCGGCGGACGGGUGAGUAAUGCAUAGGAAUCUGCCCGGUAGUGGGGGAUAACUUGAGGAAACUCAAGCUAAUACCGCAUACGCCCUACGGGGGAAAGCAGGGGCUCUUCGGACCUUGCGCUAUCGGAUGAGCUUAUGUCGGAUUAGCUGGUUGGUGAGGUAACGGCUCACCAAGGCGACGAUCCGUAGCUGGUCUGAGAGGAUGAUCAGCCACAUCGGGACUGAGACACGGCCCGAACUCCUACGGGAGGCAGCAGUGGGGAAUAUUGGACAAUGGGGGCAACCCUGAUCCAGCCAUGCCGCGUGUGUGAAGAAGGCCCUCGGGUUGUAAAGCACUUUCAGCGAGGAAGAAUGCUUGUCGGUUAAUACCCGGCAAGGGAGACAUCACUCGCAGAAGAAGCACCGGCUAACUCCGUGCCAGCAGCCGCGGUAAUACGGAGGGUGCGAGCGUUAAUCGGAAUUACUGGGCGUAAAGCGUGCGUAGGCGGCUUGAUAAGCCGGUUGUGAAAGCCCCGGGCUCAACCUGGGAACGGCAUCCGGAACUGUUAGGCUAGAGUGCAGGAGAGGAAGGUAGAAUUCCCGGUGUAGCGGUGAAAUGCGUAGAGAUCGGGAGGAAUACCA